ensembl:lncRNA
GCCAGACAAAGCUUUGCCAGACAGCGAGGUUGCUGUUGAUGGUGCAACUGUCCCAACAGAAGAUAUUACCAUCCCACAACGCAGCACUUCACCAUAUUGGAUCACAAUGACAACUAGUCCCUUUGUGUUCCCCACUGUCUCUCCUUGGUUCACAAUCCCAGAGUAUUUAACUGUCAGUGAACCUGAUGACAUUGAGAAAGCCCAAUCUCAAGGUUCUACGUUCUCCACCAUCAUGUUGACCGGUUUGCCAGAAGGAAACUACAGACAGGAGGAUGUCACCAAGCUGGUGUGGCGUUACGUCCCUGAUCAGACUGUUCAGACUCUGUACUACAAAAUAAUCGUUUUAUCACUGCAGAGGAGGGUGAG